GAAGGAGAUAAAGGGGGCUUUACUUCACCUCCAAGCCAAAUACUUCAGAGAAAAAGAUCAUCCCUUCCAUUUUCCUGUGCUGCAGGAAAAGCAGAGGCAUGGAGAGCUACAGUCCAAGUACUGUAUGGAAGUAAAUAUUAGUUCUAUGUGGACACCUUUGCUGAAGUGGCUCAGGAGCAGAGCUAGCUAUUUCCUUCUCAAAAUCCAGACAUAUCAAAUAUCAUAAGUUUAAAAGAUACCGUUUUGGAGCCUGCAUCGUUCCUGAAGAAAAUGUGGAUUUAAGGCACACGUGCUUGAUUAAGGUGUCUAAGAGAACAUGGUAAUUUAAAAUGCUCUUUGCAAUACAUUUGUUUUUGCAAAAAUGUCUUUUGGGUGUGUCUGGGCCUUCCCAUCUCUGAGCAGCAGAAUGAAUAAAGAAACAGUAAGGUGUCAUGAAGAUAUAAAAGGAGACAGUUUUAUAACAGUUGGAGUAUUCCUAAGUGUACUUCACAAUUUAUGAAAUCAUAAGUCACCUCUUCACAGAUGGUGAGGUAAAGCUUUUCUAAUGCUUGAGGGCCUCUUGUUAUUCUAAGAGUGCCUGAUGUAUAUAAAACCAUUUUUUUUAAACAGAACAUUUAAAUGUGUUUGGAAUUCAGGUUUUGGUUGUAAGAGUGACUUACUAGGACUCCUCAAUAUGAAAUGCCUUGCAGUAAAGGAAACAAAGAAAAUACUACAAUUAUACGAUUAUCCCUAAGCUUAUUAAACAAAUUGAGUCUCUGCAAAUAACCUUGCAUUUACUUACCAAUAUAUUGAGCUUGAAUUUGUAGCCAUACUGCAGAACCCAGUCUGUGGUGCUUAUACAUGUUGCAAAUUGUAGAUACGGGGUUUUUAUGCUCUUUUAAAGUAGUCUCAAAUUUCUCAAGUUUAUGGAGGUAUUUCUCACUGCUGGGAAUAUUAGAUAAAUACUGGCAGACCGGUAAUAAUGCAAAUCACUGGAAACUAAUGGAAAAAUUAUUUCACCAGUGUCAGUGCAAAAGAACUCAGCUGAGGUUACAUUCUGUUUGGAUACUUCUUGUUCUCAUUGGUGAUAAUUCAAUUGGAGAUGACUCAGUUAUGGACAGGCUACCAAUGUCAUGUCAUAUGCAACAAUACAUCUUCACCUGCUCAUGCCUGAUGUUGUUUCUACUGAAAUAAACACAAGUAUUACUACCUAUUGUAAUACUCUUGAGAGCAGAGUUCUCCUGGCUUGGGGUUGGGGCUUUUUUUGGCAAGGUAGUUCUUUUUUUGGGGUGAGUGAGCGUUUUGCUUGAAUGUGAGUUAAGACACAGCUUGAAAGCGAGGCUAUUUUAAUUGAUAGAGCUUUUGGGAACUUUUCUCCUUCUUACAAAUUAAUGAAAUUGUCUAGAUUAAAUCAAUUUAAAUGGAGUGAGACAGUGAGAUAAUGUGCUAGCCUUUCUAUCUGAAAAUCUCUGCUAUUUAGAUUGAUGGCACCAGGCCAGUCUCUAGUGGAUGUAUUUGUCUACAUUACAGAAGAAUGUCCUGCAGUCUGGACUUUUGCUUCAGAGAGGUUGAGGAUUUGGAAGGUAAUCCAAAUCCUCAUUUUUGUACCCCAGAAUGAAAACAUGCUAGUAGAGCUAUGUGUAAAAUCUGUUUUUAUUCUGCGCAGGAAUUUAUUGUGUUUAUAAUAACCAGAUUGACAUUCAUGUUUUCAGUGACUACUUGGAUGAAAUAAAGAAUUAAGUGUUAGUGGCU